GUGGCAAAUGCAGCUUCCGAGGAAGGUAGUAGUAGUUGUACUGUUGUACUAACAAAGGACCAGCUUGGGGAAUCUGAAACAAUAUUGACAAGAUUUAAUAACAUUCAGAAAUGUUGCUACGGUCUUAAUUUAAAGAACACUUUGAUUUAUGGAGGUAAAUUAAUGUUUAUGAAUAUAUGAUAAUUUAUAUUUUUUAAAGAGUAUAUUCAAAAUGUCUUUGUAAUAAAUUUAAACACGUGUCAAUAUACGUUUGAUUUGGCAAAUGCAGUAGACGUUAAGAGUGUAGGUGGUUAAUACACACUGGAAACGCUGAAUAAUAUGGGGAAAUGAUUUAUUGUGUACAUUGUCUCAAUAUUUAUACAUGUAGAUAUUUUCAGCAAUUAGGAAAAAAUACAAUUCCUAUUUUGCAGUUUCUUGUAUUGUUAGCAGUUGUAAAUGAAAUCUAUGAUAUAUCAACAUGUGUUAGCGUGUGGACACCGCACCCAACUACAGGUUGGUCUAUACACAAUGACAGAUAUUGUGGUGAUUGUGGUAAUUCAGUUUGACCUCUUUGUGUCAAUAUUCAGAUCACAACUACAGGGCACUGACAGAUGCGCAUGCGUACGACGCGCUGGAACAGCUGAGACACCUGAAAAUCGCGGAUAUUAUGAAGGAUUAUUUAUUUUCCUACCUCACAGACGAACGCUGAUAUGUUGCACUUUACACCUAUCAAAAAACCCAACGUAAAGCUGGUUUUAUGUCGCCUAAAUCAGCCACAACACGCUACAGGAAACCGUUAGACGCAUCUCCAAGGCAGCAGGGAUAGAAGGGGGAAAGACGCAUCUCCAAUGCAGCAGGGAUAGAAGGGGAAAAGACAAACCAUUCUCUGCGGGCCAGAGCAGCAGCUUGUCCACAUCAGGCAGAUGUCAACGAACAACUCGUAUGCAAAGAAACAGAUAAAACUUUUUUUCUGUUUACAGGGCCACUAUGUCCGUGUUUUACAAAGCUACUCUUGCACAGCGAUGACGUGCAGCCGCCUUGAGCCAUUCGUAUGCUUAGAUUUUAAGCUAGUCACAGAAGCGUGCAAUGUCAAGAGGGCGUGUGGCGCCCAGGAAGCUGACGUUCCUGCCCUAAUGACGGUUAAGAAAAAAUGGUGGAAACCAGUUUUGAAAACGCGUCCGGACGAGGCACUGACCAAGUUACCAGAUGAGGACAAGAAAACGGUCAGCACAUUUGGGCGAGAAUACAUUUCCGUAAUGAUCCACUUCAGUUAACCGAGUGGUGCAAAUAAACAGCUUGAUCACGUGUU
rnacentral:lncRNA from 1 species